rnacentral:rRNA from 1 species
AUUGAACGCUGGCGGCAGGCCUAACACAUGUAAGUCGAGCGGAUGACGGGAGCUUGCUCCUUGAUUCAGCGGCGGACGGGUGAGUAAUGCCUAGGAAUCUGCCUGGUAGUGGGGGACAACGUUUCGAAAGGAACGCUAAUACCGCAUACGUCCUACGAGAGAAAGCAGGGGACCUUCGGGCCUUGCGCUAUCAGAUGAGCCUAGGUCGGAUUAGCUAGUUGGUGGGGUAAUGGCUCACCAAGGCGACGAUCCGUAACUGGUCUGAGAGGAUGAUCAGUCACACUGGAACUGAGACACGGUCCAGACUCCUACGGGAGGCAGCAGUGGGGAAUAUUGGACAAUGGGCGAAAGCCUGAUCCAGCCAUGCCGCGUGUGUGAAGAAGGUCUUCGGAUUGUAAAGCACUUUAAGUUGGGAGGAAGGGCAGUAAGCUAAUACCUUGCUGUUUUGACGUUACCGACAGAAUAAGCACCGGCUAACUCUGUGCCAGCCGCCGCCGUAA